GAUGAACGCUGGCGGCGUGCCUAAUACAUGCAAGUCGAGCGAACGGACGAGAAGCUUGCUUCUCUGAUGUUAGCGGCGGACGGGUGAGUAACACGUGGAUAACCUACCUAUAAGACUGGGAUAACUUCGGGAAACCGGAGCUAAUACCGGAUAAUAUUUUGAACCGCAUGGUUCAAAAGUGAAAGACGGUCUUGCUGUCACUUAUAGAUGGAUCCGCGCUGCAUUAGCUAGUUGGUAAGGUAACGGCUUACCAAGGCAACGAUGCAUAGCCGACCUGAGAGGGUGAUCGGCCACACUGGAACUGAGACACGGUCCAGACUCCUACGGGAGGCAGCAGUAGGGAAUCUUCCGCAAUGGGCGAAAGCCUGACGGAGCAACGCCGCGUGAGUGAUGAAGGUCUUCGGAUCGUAAAACUCUGUUAUUAGGGAAGAACAUAUGUGUAAGUAACUGUGCACAUCUUGACGGUACCUAAUCAGAAAGCCACGGCUAACUACGUGCCAGCAGCCGCGGUAAUACGUAGGUGGCAAGCGUUAUCCGGAAUUAUUGGGCGUAAAGCGCGCGUAGGCGGUUUUUUAAGUCUGAUGUGAAAGCCCACGGCUCAACCCGUGGAGGGUCAUUGGAAACUGGAAAACUUGAGUGCAGAAGAGGAAAGUGGAAUUCCAUGUGUAGCGGUGAAAUGCGCAGAGAUAUGGAGGAACACCAGUGGCGAAGGCGACUUUCUGGUCUGUAACUGACGCUGAUGUGCGAAAGCGUGGGGAUCAAACAGGAUUAGAUACCCUGGUAGUCCACGCCGUAAACGAUGAGUGCUAAGUGUUAGGGGGUUUCCGCCCCUUAGUGCUGCAGCUAACGCAUUAAGCACUCCGCCUGGGGAGUACGACCGCAAGGUUGAAACUCAAAGGAAUUGACGGGGACCCGCACAAGCGGUGGAGCAUGUGGUUUAAUUCGAAGCAACGCGAAGAACCUUACCAAAUCUUGACAUCCUUUGACAACUCUAGAGAUAGAGCCUUCCCCUUCGGGGGACAAAGUGACAGGUGGUGCAUGGUUGUCGUCAGCUCGUGUCGUGAGAUGUUGGGUUAAGUCCCGCAACGAGCGCAACCCUUAAGCUUAGUUGCCAUCAUUAAGUUGGGCACUCUAAGUUGACUGCCGGUGACAAACCGGAGGAAGGUGGGGAUGACGUCAAAUCAUCAUGCCCCUUAUGAUUUGGGCUACACACGUGCUACAAUGGACAAUACAAAGGGCAGCGAAACCGCGAGGUCAGGCAAAUCCCAUAAAGUUGUUCUCAGUUCGGAUUGUAGUCUGCAACUCGACUACAUGAAGCUGGAAUCGCUAGUAAUCGUAGAUCAGCAUGCUACGGUGAAUACGUUCCCGGGUCU
rnacentral:rRNA from 1 species